rnacentral:rRNA from 1 species
UACGUAGGGUGCGAGCGUUAAUCGGAAUACUGGGCGUAAAGCGUGCGCAGGCGGUGAUGUAAGACAGAUGUGAAAUCCCCGGGCUCAACCUGGGAACUGCAUUUGUGACUGCAUCGCUGGAGUGCGGCAGAGGGGGAUGAAAUUCCGCGUGUAGCAGUGAAAUGCGUAGAUAUGCGGAGGAACACCGAUGGCGGAAGGCAAUCCCCUGGGCCUGCACUGACGCUCAUGCACGAAAGCGUGGGAGCAACAGG